rnacentral:tRNA from 1 species
AGAAAGUAAUGCAAGAACUGCUAAUUCNAUGCUUCCGCGCUUAUAAUCGCGGCUUUCUU